CAUACAGUUAGCCAUUGUUAGCAACUAGCAAGCGUUACGUAGCUCUAUCAACCAAGUCCUGUCUCCAACGUGAAUUAAAGACCACCUGCGCCUGAGACUACAUAUGAAUCAGCCAAAAGGCAGGGAUCCACUUUCUCCAAAAAUGUCACUCCCACUGCACCCAAAUCAUCUUUUGCUUGGACUUGGAGGUCUUCACCACACCUGCCACCAGAGGUAGCUCCUCUCUGAGAACCUCUUCCUGCGGUACAGGCGAACGACAUCUAUCCCGUAUGGACCUUCAGGUGCAUCUUCAUAUUGUGCUG